rnacentral:rRNA from 1 species
UUGAACGCUGGCGGCAUGCCUUACACAUGCAAGUCGAACGGCAGCACGGGGGCAACCCUGGUGGCGAGUGGCGAACGGGUGAGUAAUAUAUCGGAACGUGCCCUAGAGUGGGGGAUAACUAGUCGAAAGACUAGCUAAUACCGCAUACGAUCUAUGGAUGAAAGUGGGGGAUCGCAAGACCUCAUGCUCGUGGAGCGGCCGAUAUCUGAUUAGCUAGUUGGUGGGGUAAAAGCCUACCAAGGCAUCGAUCAGUAGCUGGUCUGAGAGGACGACCAUGCCACACUGGGACUGAGACACGGCCCAGACUCCUACGGGAGGCAGCAGUGGGGAAUUUUGGACAAUGGGGGCAACCCUGAUCCAGCAAUGCCGCGUGAGUGAAGAAGGCCUUCGGGUUGUAAAGCUCUUUUGUCAGGGAAGAAACGGUCCGGGCUAAUAUCCUGGGCUAAUGACGGUACCUGAAGAAUAAGCACCGGCUAACUACGUGCCAGCAGCCGCGGUAAUACGUAGGGUUGCGAGCGUUAAUCGGAAUUACUGGGCGUAAAGCGUGCGCAGGCGGUUGUGCAAGACAGAUGUGAAAUCCCCGGGCUCAACCUGGGAAUUGCAUUUGUGAACUGCACGGCUAGAGUGUGUCAGAGGGGGGGUAGAAUUCCACGUGUAGCAGUGAAAUGCGUAGAGAUGUGGAGGAAUACCGAUGGCGAAGGCAGCCCCCUGGGAUAACACUGACGCUCAUGCACGAAAGCGUGGGGAGCAAACAGGAUUAGAUACCCUGGUAGUCCACGCCCUAAACGAUGUCAACUAGUUGUCGGGUCUUAAUUGACUUGGUAACGCAGCUAACGCGUGAAGUUGACCGCCUGGGGAGUACGGUCGCAAGAUUAAAACUCAAAGGAAUUGACGGGGACCCGCACAAGCGGUGGAUGGUGUGGAUUAAUUCGAUGCAACGCGAGAAACCUUACCUACCCUUGACAUGGCAGGAAUCCCGGAGAGAUUUGGGAGUGCUCGAAAGAGAACCUGCACACAGGUGCUGCAUGGCUGUCGUCAGCUCGUGUCGUGAGAUGUUGGGUUAAGUCCCGCAACGAGCGCAACCCUUGUCAUUAGUUGCUACGAAAGGGCACUCUAAUGAGACUGCCGGUGACAACCGGAGGAAGGUGGGGGAUGACGUCAAGUCCUCAUGGCCCUUAUGGGUAGGGGCUUCACACGUCAUACAAUGGUACAUACAGAGGGCCGCCAACCGCGAGGGGGAGCUAAUCCCAGAAAGUGUAUCGUAGUCCGGAUUGGAGUCUGCAACUCGACUCCAUGAAGUUGGAAUCGCUAGUAAUCGCGGAUCAGCAUGUCGCGGUGAAUACGUUCCCGGGUCUUGUACACACCGCCCGUCACACCAUGGGAGCGGGUUUUACCAGAAGUAGGUAGCUUAACCGCAAGGAGGGCGCUUACCACGGUAGGAUUCGUGACUGGGGUG